ensembl:misc_RNA Metazoa_SRP Metazoan signal recognition particle RNA
GCUGGGCAUGGUGGUGCAUGCCUGUAAUCCAAGCUAUCCGGGAAGCUGAGGCAGGAGAAUUGCUUGAACCCAGGAGGCAGAGGUUGCAGUGAGUCGAGAUUGUGCCACUGUACUCUAGCCUAGGUGACAGAGUGAGACUCUGCCUCAA